AUAUUACGUCACUUCCGUUAUAAAUUUUUCUUACGGUUUUAGCAUCACAUUUUGUUCAGUUCGCUCGCCCAACCAAAUGUCAAGGCUGCUACAGCAAGGAAAGGAACUUCGUUUCGAUAAAU